UACAGAGGUCUCAAGCGUUGUUCGGAUUCAUUGGGCGUAAAGGGUGUGUAGGUGGCGCCGUAAGUCGGGUGUGAAAUUUCGGAGCUUAACUCCGAAACUGCAUUCGAUACUGCGGUGCUUGAGGACUGGAGGGGAGACUGGAAUUCAUGGUGUAGCAGUGAAAUGCGUAGAGAUCAUGAGGAAGACCAGUGGCGAAGGCGGGUCUCUGGACAGUUCCUGACGCUGAGGCACGAAGGCCAGGGGAGCAAACGGG
rnacentral:rRNA from 1 species